AUUGAACGCUGGCGGCAGGCCUAACACAUGCAAGUCGAGCGGAUGAGGGAAGCUUGCUUCCCGAUUUAGCGGCGGACGGGUGAGUAAUGCCUAGGAAUCUGCCUAUUAGUGGGGGAUAACGUCCCGAAAGGAACGCUAAUACCGCAUACGUCCUACGGGAGAAAGUGGGGGAUCUUCGGACCUCACGCUAAUAGCUGAGCCUAGGUCGGAUUAGCUAGUUGGUGAGGUAACGGCGCACCAAGGAGACGAUCCGUAGCUGGUCUGAGAGGAUGAUCAGCCACCAUGGAACGAAAGCACGGUCCAGACUCCUACGGGAGGCAACAGUGUGGAAUAGUGGAUAAUGUGCGAAAGCCUGAUCCAGCCUUGCCGCGUGUUUGAAUAAGGUCUUCGGAUUUUAAAGUACUAUAAGUUGGGAGGAAGCGUUGUAAGCUAAUAGCUUGCAUCUUUGACGUUACCAACAGAAUAAGCACCGGCUAACUCUGUGCCAGCAGCCGCAGUAAAAC
rnacentral:rRNA from 1 species